rnacentral:tRNA from 1 species
GGCUACCUGGCGCAAUGGUAGCGCGUCUGGCUUCGAUCGCCGACGGCACCAGCUCGGGAUGCUCCUGAGUGGAUCCUGACACCAGAAGGCUGCAGGUUCGAGUCCUGCGGUGGUCA